rnacentral:rRNA from 1 species
UACGGACGAUCCAAGCGUUAUCCGGAAUUACUGGGCGUAAAGAGUUGCGUAGGUGGCAUAGUAAGUCAGUAGUGAAAGCGUGGGGCUCAACCCCAUACACAUUAUUGAAACUGCUAAGCUAGAGAAUGAGAGAGGUAUCUGGAAUUCCCAGUGUAGGAGUGAAAUCCGUAGAUAGUGGGGGGAACACCGAUGGCGUAGGCAGGGUACUGGCUCAUUUCUGACACUAAGGCACGAAAGCGUGGGGAGCAAACGGG